GCGCGUGAGGACUUCGGCGCGCGCCGGAAGCACGUGCGCGGGCUGGGCGCUCUGGCGGUGUGCGCUGAGGCUGGAAUGCAGUGGCGUGAUCUCAGCUCACUAUGACCUCUGCCUCCCGGGUUCAAGUGAUUCUCCUGCCUCAGACUUCUGAGUAGCUGGGAUUACAGCCACGCGCCACCACACCUGGCUAAUUUUUGUAUUUUUAGUAGAGACGGGGUUUCGCCUUGUUGGCUGUGCUGGUCUCAAACUCCUGACCUCAGGUAAUCCGCCUGCCUCAGCCUCCCAAAGUGCUGGGCAGCCUCCCAAAGUGCUGGGAUUACAGGCGUGAGCCACCGCACCUGGCCUGCACAUAUUUAAAGUGUACAUUUUGACAAUUUUUAAUAUAUAUGUACGCUUGUGCUUGCUGCUCCAGGGGACCGCUAUUUCUAGGCCUUUUCAGUGGACAGAGGCAUUUUUGUGAUUGUUUUAUCUCAUUUGUCACUUAGGAAGAAUAACUUCUUGUGAGGUUUAGUGGUGGUUUUGGGGUUGAUAGUAUAGGUCUUCAUCACAGUCCACCUCCAAGUGAUAAUACACUACUUUAUACAGAGUAUAAGAAACUGACAACCAUUUGCUUCCAUCCUCCCCCAGCAUCUGUGCUGGGGAUGUUGUACUUCUACAUAUGUUGUACACCCACAUACAUUGUUAUUGUUUUUACUUAAUAAGCUACUAAUUCUCUGUCUCUCUUUUCCUUUUAAUUGUGGUAAAAUAGACAUAAAAUGUAGCAACUCAGCCAUCUUGAAAUGUACAGUGGCAUUAAAUAUAUUCCCAUUGUUGUGCAACCAUCACCACCAUCCAUCUCUAGAACGCUUCAUGUUGCAAACCUGAAACUCUGUACCUGUUUAACAACAACUCCCCAUUCACUUCUCCCCACAGUGCCUGGCAACCACCAUUUUACUUCCUGUCUAGGAAUUGGCUUCUCUAGGUACAGUACCUCAUAUAAAUGGAGUCAUACAGUAUUUGUCUUUUCCUCACUGUCGUAUUUCACUUAGCAUAAUGUCCUCAAGAUUCAUCUGUAACAUUGUAGAAUGUGUCAGAAUUUCCUUCCUGUUUAAGACUGAAUACUAUUCAAUACUUUGUACAUAUAUACUGCAUUUUCAGCCAAUUCUUUUCAAUAGAUUUAAACAAUAAGAAAAAAGUGUUUUAUAUUUACUCACAUAGUUACCAUAUCUAAGACUCCUUAUUCUCUUGUAUAGAUUAGAUUUCCAUGGUCUCAUUUCCCUUUUGUCUGAAGGGCUUUCCUUGACAGAUCUUGAAGUGUAGAUCUCCUGGUGACUAAUUCUUUCAGCUUUUAUAUGUCCAAAAAAGUCUUUAUUUCACUUCUGUGUUUGAAGCUAUUUUUGCUCAAUUUCGAUUUUUAGGGUUUUCAAUUUUUUUUUUCUAACAUGAAGAUACUGUUUCAGUGUUUUCUGGCUCAUUUUGUUUCCGAUAAGGAGUGAACUGCCAUUCUUAUCUUUAUUUCUUUUAUGCAACGUGUCUUUUAUCUCUGCUUGGUUUUAAGAUUUCAUCUGUAUCACUAGUCUGAAGCAAUUUGAUUAUGAUGUGCCUUGGUGUUGAUUUUCUUUAAAGUUCUUGUCCUUGAGUUUCACUGAACUUCUCUGGUCUUUGAGUUUAUAGUUGCUAUCAGAUUUGGAGUUUUUUCAGCCAUUAUUUCUUCAAAUAUUUUUUUCUGCCCCUGCCUCUCCUUUCCUUUGGCGAUUCUACUACACAAAUAUUAGAUCACUUGAAUUUGUUUCACAGCUAACUCAGGCUUUGUUCAUUUUUUGUCAGUCUUUUUUCUUUCUGUUUUUCAUUUUCGUGUAAUUUCCAUUGCUGUGUCUUUAAAUUCACUCAUCUUUCCUAUAGUAUCUAAUCUGCUGUCAAUUCCAUCCAGCGUAUUUUUCGUCUCAGGCAUUGCCAUUUCACCUGCAGAAGUUUCACUCGGUGUCUGGACCUGCAUCUGGGUCCUCUGGUUUCCGUGUUUAGUGCUCAAGCAUAUGGAACAUGUGUCAUUUCUACUAACUUUAUCACCUAAGUAAUUUCUGAGAUUGUUUAUAUUGAUUGGCUUUUCUCUUCAUUGUAGGUAAUAUUUUCCUACUUUACAAGCCAGAUAAUUUUUUAUUGAAUGCCAGACAUUGAGAAGUUUACUUUGAGAUACAUAUAAUGUUUAUUUUUAUGAAUAUUUUUGAGCUUUGUUCUGGGGUGCAGGUAAGUUCCUUGGAAAGAGCUUGAUGCUUCAGGUCAUGUUUUUACACUUUUUUUAGGGGGUGGGCCCUGAGCAGCAUUCUACUCAACAAAUCCUUGAGUUGUGAAGGUUUUCACCAUGAUUGGCGGAAUUCGGAGUUCCUCUGGGCCGUGCGUGAGUGCUGGGGAUUGUUUUCUCUAAUAUUCGCUGGUGAUUCUUUAUCUGGCAUGGGGUAGGAGUGCCUACCACAGUAGGAAUUUGAAAUGCAGGUAUUUCUUCACUUGCCUGCACUGCUCAGUAAAGACUUGAAGGGAACCCUCUGCAAACCUCUGGCACUCUCUCUCUCUCUGUACAGCUCUGCACAACCCCCAGCUCAGGGAGUGCUGCUUCUUCCUCCUGUCUGACUCCAGAGCUCAGUCUGUGGCAGUCUUUCUCUGCAGUCACUUACUUGCUCAUUCAUUUCAUCUGGUCUUAAGGCUUUCAAUAUGAUCUAAAGCUGAUGAUUCCUUAAUUUCUAGCUUGCCUAGGCUUCUAUGUACAAUUGCUUACUUGAUACGUCCACUUGAAUGAAUGCCUAUUAGGUUUCUUAAUACUAACGAAAUAAAAACCAAGGCCGGGCACGGUGGCUCACGGCUGUAAUCCCAGCACUUUGGGAGGCCAAGGCGGGUGAAUCACAAGAUCAGGAGUUCAAGACCAGGCUGGACAAUAUGGUGAAACCCUGUCUCUACUAAAAAAUACAAAAAAUUAGCCAGGCAUGGUGGCGCGCACAUGUAGUCUCAUCUACUCAGGAGGCCGAGGCAGGAGAAUCGCUGGAACCUGGGAGGCAGAGGUUGCAGUGAGCCGAGAUCAUGCCACUGCACUCCAGCCCGGGCGACAGAGCAGAUUCCGUCUCAAAAUAAACAAACAAACAAACAAACCAAACAUCCAGAUUUCUUGACCAAACCAGUGCCUUCUGCAAUCUUUUGUAUCUCAGUAAAUGGCAGUUUGCCAGGUGUAUUAGUCAGGGUCGGGGUUCUCUAGAGGGACAGAACUAAUAGGAUACAUGUAUAUAUGAAAGGGAGUUUAUUGAGGAGAAUUGACUCACACGAUCACAAGCUAAAGUCCCAUGAUUGGCUGUCUGCAAGCUGAGGUGCAAGGAAGCCAGUGGUGGAUCAGUCCAAGUCCCAAAACCUCAAAAAUAGGGAAGCCGACAGUGUAGCCUUCCAUCUGUGGGCAAAGGCCCAAGAGGCCCUGGCAAACCACUGGUGUAAGUCUAAGAGUCCGAAAGCUGAAGAACUGGGAGGCUGAUGUUCAAGGGCAGGAAGCAUCCAGUACGGCAGAAAGAUGAAGGCCAGAAGACUCAGCAAGUCUGCUUUAUUCUAGCCGCUCUGGUAGCCGAUUAGAUGGGGCCCACCCAGAUUGAGGGUGGGUCAGCCUCUUCCGGUCCACUGACUCAAAUGUUAAUCUCCUUUGGGAACACCCUCACGACACACCUAGGAACAAUACUGUGAAUCCUUCAAUCAAGUUGACACUUAAUAUUAAACAUCACACCAGGGCCAAACCUUGGGAGUCCUGCCUGACUUCUCACACCCACAUUUGAUCCAUCAGCAAGUCCUACAGGCUCUACUGUCAAGAGCAUCCAGAAUCUGCUUUUGCUACUCCCACUGCCUCACCCCCGAAUCCUGGCCACCUCCUGGACCAGCCCGCCUCACCUCUCUCCUGCCUUUUGCAGCUACCUCCCCUUCCUGCUUCUAUGCUUGUCUCCCUGUGUUGUCUUUUCUCAACACAGCUGCUAGAGCAAUCCUAUUAAAAUGUAAACAAACAAAACCAAAAAUAAAUGACAAUUCUCCUUUAAAACAGCCAGUGUUGCCUGUAAUCCUAGGACUUUGGGAGGCCAAGGUGGGUGGAUCAUUUGAGGUCAGGAGUUCGAGACCAGCCUGGCCAACAUGGUGUAACCCCCCAACCUCUACUAAAAAUACAAAAAUUAGCCGGGCGUGGUGGGGGCGCCUGUAGUUCCAGCUACCUGGGAGGCUAAGGCAGGAGAAUCGCUUGAACCCGGGAGACAGAGUUUGCAGGGACCCGAGAUCAUGUCACUGCACUCCAGCCUGUGCGACAGAGCGAGACUCUAUCUCAAACAAAACAAAACAAAACAGCAACAAAAAAACAGCCAGUGUUGGGGGGAGGAGGGGACUAUAGGUCCCAUCAGGCCACCCUCUGCUCAAAGCCUCAUCUCACUCACAAUGGCCUAUAAAGUCAUCCAUGGUCUGCUCCCCCAACCCCUCAUUCUCUUGACUCUGAUCCUACAGGCCUUCUUGCUGGUUCUUAUACACAUCAAGCAGCCUUUGGCCUCAGGGCCUUUGCAUGUGCUUUUUUCCUCUUCCUGGAAUGCUCUUGUCCCAGAUGUCUACAUGGCCCUCACAGCCCACAUGUGUUCUGCUCACAGGGCACCUCAUGAGGAGGGCUUUUCUUUUCUUAUAUGAAAUAGCAACCCCUCUCCAUUUCAUCCCCCCAGCACUUCAUUUGCCCCCUAUUUUGUUCUAUGCCCCACUCCAUAGCAUUUAACAUCACUUAAAAUACAUAUCCUUUAUUAGUUUAUUGUGUGCUCCCUCUCUAGAUUAUAAGUUCUAUAAGGGCAGGAAAUGCUUUGGCCUUGUUCCCUGCUCCAUCCCCAUGCCUAAAAUAGUAUUUGGCACAUAGUAAACCCUCAAUCACUCGGAAGAUGUUGAAUGAGUGAAUGAAUGGAACAAAACUCAGCAGCUCUCUAUGGAUUUAAUGUAAUGAACUUAAUUGUAAAUAUGUUGAUUUAUGGGAAAUUUAAAAGUGGGGGUCUCUGGCCGGGCUCUGUGCUCAGACCUAUAAUCCCAGCACUUUGGGAGGCCGAGGCAGGCGGAUCACUUGAGGUCAGGAAUUUGAGACCAGCCUGGUCAACAUAGUAAAACCCUGUCUCUAUUAAAACUACAAAAAUUAGCUGGAUGUGGUGGUGCAUGCCUGCAAUCCCAGCUAUUUGGGAGGCUGAGGCAGGAGAAUCUUUUGACCCCGGAGGUAGAGGCUGCAGUGAGCCAAGACCACACCACUGUAC
rnacentral:lncRNA from 1 species